rnacentral:tRNA from 1 species
GGUGGCUCAGCAGUAGAGUGCUUGCCUUGAAUGCAUGAGGCUCUGGGUUCGAUUCCUCAGCACCA